UACGUAGGGUGCGAGCGUUGUCCGGAAUUAUUGGGCGUAAAGAGCUUGUAGGCGGUCUGUCGCGUCUGCUGUGAAAAUCCGGGGCUCAACCCCGGACUUGCAGUGGGUACGGGCAGACUAGAGUGUGGUAGGGGAGACUGGAAUUCCUGGUGUAGCGGUGAAAUGCGUAGAUAUCCGGAGGAACACCAGUGGCGAAAGCGGCCACCU
rnacentral:rRNA from 1 species